ACUCCUACGGGUGGCUGCAGUGGGGAAUAUUGCGCAAUGGGGGGAACCCUGACGCAGCCAUGCCGCGUGAAUGAAGAAGGCCUUCGGGUUGUAAAGUUCUUUCGGUAUUGAGGAAGGUUGAUGUGUUAAUAGCACAUCAAAUUGACGUUAAAUACAGAAGAAGCACCGGCUAACUCCGUGCCAGCAGCCGCGGUAAUACGGAGGGUGCGAGCGUUAAUCGGAAUAACUGGGCGUAAAGGGCACGCAGGCGGUUAUUUAAGUGAGGUGUGAAAGCCCUGGGCUUAACCUAGGAAUUGCAUUUCAGACUGGGUAACUAGAGUACUUUAGGGAGGGGUAGAAUUCCACGUGUAGCGGUGAAAUGCGUAGAGAUGUGGAGGAAUACCGAAGGCGAAGGCAGCCCCUUGGGAAUGUACUGACGCUCAUGUGCGAAAGCGUGGGGAGCAAACAGGAUUAGAUACCCUGGUAGUCCACGCUGUAAACGCUGUCGAUUUGGGGGUUGGGGUUUAACUCUGGCGCCCGUAGCUAACGUGAUAAAUCGACCGCCUGGGGAGUACGGCCGCAAGGUUAAAACUCAAAUGAAUUGACGGGGGCCCGCACAAGCGGUGGAGCAUGUGGUUUAAUUCGAUGCAACGCGAAGAACCUUACCAGGCCUUGACAUCCAGAGAACUAAGCAGAGAUGCUAUGGUGCCUUCGGGAACUCUGAGACAGGUGAUGCAUGGAUGUCGUCAGCUCGUG
rnacentral:rRNA from 1 species